rnacentral:tRNA from 1 species
GUUUCUGUAGUGUAGUGGUCAUAACGUUCGCCUUACACGCUAAAGGUCCUCGGUUCGAAACCGAGCAGAAACA